GAUGAACGCUGGCGGCGUGCUUAACACAUGCAAGUCGAACGGAAAGGCUCUUGCUUGUAGGGGUACUCGAGUGGCGAACGCGUGAGUAACACGUGUGUAUUCUGCCCUGCACUUCGGUAUAAGCCUGGGUAGCUGGGUCUAAUAUCGGAUAGGACGAUGGUUUCGAUGCCAUUCUGGAAAGUUUUUCGGUGUGGGAUGAUCUCGCGGCCUAUCAGCUUGUUGGUGGGGUAAUGGCAUACCAAGGCGUCGACGGGUAGCCGGCCUGUGAGGGUGUACGGGCACAAUAGGACUGAGAGACGGACCAGACUCGUACGGGAGGCAGCAGUGGGGAGUAUUGCACAAUGGGCGUGAGCCUGAUACGGAGACGCCGCGUGGGGGAUGACGGCCUUCGGGUUGUAAACUCCUUUCGCUAGGGACGAAGCGCAAGUGACGGUACCUGGAGAAGAAGCACCGGCUAACUACGUG
rnacentral:rRNA from 1 species